rnacentral:tRNA from 14 species
GCGGAUAUGGCGGAAUUGGUAGACGUGCUAGGUUUAGGUCCUAGUGAGUUAUGCUCGUGGGGGUUCAAGUCCCUCUAUCCGCA